rnacentral:tRNA from 1 species
AGGGGCUUAGGAUUUAACUUAGACCAAGAGCCUUCAAAGCUUUAAGCAGGAGUGAGAAUCUCCUAGCCCCUG